rnacentral:miRNA from 1 species
GAUGAUAGAACUUCCGAAUCGA